rnacentral:rRNA from 1 species
GAUGAACGCUGGCGGCGUGCCUAACACAUGCAAGUCGAGCGAUUUUCUUCGGAGAAGAGCGGCGGACGGGUGAGUAACGCGUGGGUAACCUGCCCUGUACACACGGAUAACAUACCGAAAGGUAUGCUAAUACGAGAUAAUAUACUUUUAUCGCAUGGUAGAAGUAUCAAAGCUUUUGCGGUACAGGAUGGACCCGCGUCUGAUUAGCUAGUUGGUAAGGUAACGGCUUACCAAGGCGACGAUCAGUAGCCGACCUGAGAGGGUGAUCGGCCACAUUGGAACUGAGACACGGUCCAAACUCCUACGGGAGGCAGCAGUGGGGAAUAUUGCACAAUGGGCGAAAGCCUGAUGCAGCAACGCCGCGUGAGCGAUGAAGGCCUUCGGUCGUAAAGCUCUGUCCUCAAGGAAGAUAAUAGACGGUACUUGAGGAGGAAGGCCCCGGCGUAACUACGUGCCAGCAGCCGCGGUAACACGAGAGUA